UACGUAGGGGGCAAGCGUUGUCCGGAAUCAUUGGGCGUAAAGAGCGUGUAGGCGGCCCGGUAAGUCCGCUGUGAAAGUCCAGGGCUCAACCCUGGGAUGCCGGUGGAUACUGUCGGGCUCGAGUCCGGAAGAGGAGUGUGGAAUUCCUGGUGUAGCGGUGAAAUGCGCAGAUAUCCGGAGGAACACCAGUGGCGAAGGCGACUUCCUGGCCUGUUCUUGACGCUGAGGCGCGAAAGCUGGGGGAGCAAACGGG
rnacentral:rRNA from 1 species